UUCUACACCAACUCGCCGCAAUUUUCUGUUCAUAAACUCUCAAUCUCUUCUCAAGCACUUCGUCUCCUCCUCCAUCUCUUUGUUUCUUCUCAAAACAUCACUAAUCAAAGCAAUCAGUUUCAAAUUCAGUUUUCUGUGUUUUAGUUCAGUUCAAAGCCUCCAAAGCAAUCAACUCCAAUCUAUAGAUUCGGUUUUACUGUUUGCAAAACAGAGGGAGCGGUGCUUCGCUUAUGGCGAAAGCUGCGAUGAACUCACACGAACCUGCACUUUACUCACUUGCUGUUAUACAGUUUAACGGAAGCGGCGGUACCAGAAGUAGUAAGGACCUCUGUCGGAUCUCCGAGGGGACGCGAUUUCUUAUUCAAAUCUUCAAUCUCAACUCCGAUUCUUCGCGGCAUCUGAAUUCCUGGUCCUUGAUGUUCUAUCAUCUCCGCCGCCACCCCCACCACCACCAUUUCUUCUAACUCCGUCAUCUUUUCAUCUCACUUCAUUCUUCUAUCGUAUUGUGGGGUAUCAAUUUGAAGUCAGUGGGUAAGUCCAAGAAGACAAAACAAACUGCAACAGAAUUUGAUGAUUUAUAUAUGAUGCUUCUCGUCAGGGAGGGUAAGAUUGAUGUAGUUGUGGGUGCUGUGACCAAUGAUAUUCGUGUUUAUGAAGUGCCUGCGAUAAAGGUAACUACUCUGAGGUUCACAGAAACUGCUAGAGCUAGAAUUGUCAAGGCUGGUGGGGAGUGCCUUACCUUUGAUGACCUGGCUGUUAGAGCACUUUUAGGCUAGAACACGGUCUAUGAAAUAGAGAUUCCAACCAUGGACCAGGACCGUCCGCUCGUCGGAUUUUGGCGAUUUUGGGCUGAUUUUGUUAGGGCUGAUUUAGUUUUUGUUAGGGAUGACCAGAUUUUGGUUCUGUUGCAAACAUGUGAAUUGAAUUAUAAUGGUGUAUAUAUUUUGGAUUAUAAUGGUAUAUAAUGCCUUUUUUUGUAUAUUUUCCGGCUUCUUUGUUGAAAUAAAAGCUCCUUGAAAUGUAAGGCUUGAGUUACAGGUUUAUGGGAUUAAUCCCAAAAAUAUGCUUUAAUAAAAAAAGAAAUAGAACUCGCUGAUUUAUUGUUAUUAUUAUUUUGUGUGCUGCUGUCAAAAGGGGUGCAUUAUUAGAAGGCACUUAUAAAUUAAAGUGAGGAAUAGACAACAUUUUUAAAGAAAAACGUUGUCUAAAAGAUAACCAAAAGGGGUGCAUUAGAAAGCACUUCUAAAUUAAAGUGGAGAAUAGACAACGCUUUUAAAGAAAAGCGCUGUCUAAAGCAAUGUCUAAAAUAUAACCAAAAGCGCUGUCUAAAGAGAAAGCGCUGUCUAAAGGGGUGU